AGUGAACGCUGGCGGUAGGCCUAACACAUGCAAGUCGAACGGCAGCACAGUAAGAGCUUGCUCUUACGGGUGGCGAGUGGCGGACGGGUGAGGAAUACAUCGGAAUCUACUUUUUCGUGGGGGAUAACGUAGGGAAACUUACGCUAAUACCGCAUAUGACCUACGGGUGAAAGCAGGGGAUCUUCGGACCUUGCGCGAUUGAAUUAGCCGAUGCCGGAUUAGCUAGUUGGCGGGGUAAAGGCCCACCAAGGCGACGAUCCGUAGCUGGUCUGAGUGGAUGAUCAGCCACCCUGGAACUGAGCCACGGUCCAGACUCCUACGGGAGGCAGCAGUGGGGAAUAUUGGGCAAUGGGCGCAAGCCUGAUCCAGCCAUACCGCGUGGGUGAAGAAGGCCUUCGGGUUGUAAAGCCCUUUUGUUGGGAAAGAAAAGCAGCAGGUUAAUACCACGCUGUUCUGACGGUACCCAAAGAAUAAGCACCGGCUAACUUCGUG
rnacentral:rRNA from 1 species